AAAUCGGAAGGGAGCUGCUUCUCUGUGGUCUUCCACAAGAGCUGCCUGGGCUCUGCUGGCUCAGUAAUAACUGAGUGACCUUUUCUUUCGCUGUAUUAUGUCUGGCUGGUAAGGGAUUGCAUUUUGCAGCUGAUAAAGCCCUGACUUCAUUCAACUCGGCUCCUCACACGCUGCUUUAGGAGAAGAGCUACAAAGCAGCCACUGUGCUUAUUGAACUGCCUCCCCUGUAUCGCUUAAUUGAGAAGGUA